rnacentral:rRNA from 1 species
UGGGGAAUAUUGCACAAUGGGCGGAAGCCUGAUGCAGCAACGCCGCGUGCGGGAUGACGGCCUUCGGGUUGUAAACCGCUUUCGCCUGUGACGAAGCGUGAGUGACGGUAAUGGGUAAAGAAGCACCGGCUAACUACGUGCCAGCAGCCGCGGUGAUACGUAGGAUGCGAGCGUUGUCCGGAUUUAUUGGGCGUAAAGGGCUCGUAGGUGGUUGAUCGCGUCGGAAGUGUAAUCUUGGGGCUUAACCCUGAGCGUGCUUUCGAUACGGGUUGACUUGAGGAAGGUAGGGGAGAAUGGAAUUCCUGGUGGAGCGGUGGAAUGCGCAGAUAUCAGGAGGAACACCAGUGGCGAAGGCGGUUCUCUGGGCCUUUCCUGACGCUGAGGAGCGAAAGCGUGGGGAGCGAACAGGCUUAGAUACCCUGGUAGUCCACGCUGUAAACGGUGGGUACUAGGUGUGGGGUCCAUUCCACGGGUUCCGUGCCGUAGCUAACGCUUUAAGUACCCCGCCUGGGGAGUACGGCCGCAAGGCUA